rnacentral:rRNA from 1 species
UGAGUACGAGAUGCUACGGCAUCGAAGCAGUCUAUGUCAUACUUCCAAGAAAAGCUUGCAAUGUCAUAAACAAAUAAUGCCUGUACCAUAACCGACACAGGUGGGUAGGUAGAGUAUACUAAGGGGCGCGAGAUAACUCUCUCUAAGGAACUCGGCAAAAUGACUCCGUAACUUCGGGAGAAGGAGUGCCUUAUUUUUAUAAGGUUGCAAUAACAAGAUCCAAGCAACUGUUUACCAAAAACACAGGUCUCCGCUAAGUCGUAAGACGAUGUAUGGGGGCUGACGCCUGCCCAAUGCCAGAAGGUUAAAGAAGUUGGUUAGCAUUAGCGAAGCUGAUAACUGAAGCCCUGGUGAACGGCGGCCGUAACUAUAACGGUCCUAAGGUAGCGAAAUUCCUUGUCGGGUAAGUUCCGACCCGCACGAAAGGCGUAAUGAUUUGGAUACUGUCUCGGAGAGGGGCUCGGUGAAAUAGACUUGUCUGUGAAGAUGCGGACUACCUGCACCUGGACAGAAAGACCCUAUGAAGCUUUACUGUAACUUGAGAUUGAAAUUGGACUUUAUCUGCGCAGUAUAGGUGGGAGACGUUGAAAAUAUUCUUGCGGGAAUAUUGGAGUCAUCAGUGAGAUACCACUCUUAUAAUGUUAGAUUUCUAACUUUGUAUCAUUAUCUGGUCAAAGAACAGUUUCAGGCGGGCAGUUUGACUGGGGCGGUCGCCUCCCAAACGGUAACGGAGGCGCACAAAGGUUUCCUCUGAACGUGUAGAAAUCGUAUCUAGAGUGUAAAGGCAUAAGGAAGCUUGACUGUGAGACCUACAAGUCGAGCAGGGACGAAAGUCGGUCUUAGUGAUCUGACGGUGCUGAGUGGAAAGGCCGUCACUCAACGGAUAAAAGUUACUCUAGGAUAACAGGCUGAUCUCCCCCAAGAGUUCACAUCGACGGGGAGGUUUGGCACCUCGAUGUCGGCUCAUCGCAUCCUGGGGCGGUAGUACGUCCCAAGGGUUGGGCUGUUCGCCCAUGAAAGCGGUACGCGAGCUGGGUUCAGAACGUCGUGAGACAGUUCGGUCCAUAUCCGGUGUAGGCGUUAGAAUAUUGAGAGGAGCCUUCUUUAGUACGAGAGGACCGAGAAGGACAUACCUCUGGUGUACCAGUUAUCGUGCCAACGGUAAACGCUGGGUAGCCAUGUAUGGAGAGGAUAACCGCUGAAAGCAUCUAAGUGGGAAGCCCACCUCAAGAUAAG